rnacentral:rRNA from 1 species
AAUCAACGCUGGCGGCGUGCCUAACACAUGCAAGUCGAACGAGAAAGUGGAGCAAUCCAUGAGUAAAGUGGCGACCGGGUGAGUAACACGUGACUAACCUACCCUCGAGUGGGGAAUAACCUCGGGAAACCGAGGCUAAUACCGCAUAACAUCGCAAGAUCAAAGCAGAAAUGCGCUUGAGGAGGGGGUCGGCGGCGUGA